rnacentral:lncRNA from 10 species
GUGGUUUCCCGAGGUGGAUGUGGCAGAGAUCGAGCCCACGCCUCUUCCUAGCUCACUUGGUGACCUCAGGGCAGCUUCUGAACAGUUCGUGCCUCAGUUUCCUCCCUCGUGAAAUGCAGGUAAUACCAGUCGCUACCCCAGAGGGCCGCUGUGGGAGCAGGGCCGGCGUCGUGGGUGUGUGUGACUCGGGGCUUCGCCCACCGCCUGCACUCAGAAGGUCCCGGCGCUCAGCGUGAUGCUUUGCUGUUGCCUAACCCAAGCUAUGAAAUAUGUUUUGUGCCGGGGCACCGUGUUUUCAUUUCCACUGAUCCUCAAAAGUUGUGUGGAUGGUCCAGUGUGGGAGGAAAUGAGCAGAUGCAGCCGCCACCCUCCAGUCCCCAGGCUGGCUUCCUCACCCUUCCAAAUCUUUAGUGCCUAUUGCUCAAUUUAACUGCUGUUCAAUUUGCUGUGAAAAGAGUCUCAGCCAGGCACGGUGGCUCAUGCCUGUAAUCCCAGCACUUUGGGAGGCCGAGGCAGGCAGAUCACCUGAGGUCAGGAGUUUGAGACCAGCCUGACCAACAUGGAGAAACCCUAUUUCUACGGAAAAUACAAAAUUAGCUGGGCAUGGUGGCACAUGCCUGUAAUCCCAGCUACUUGGCAGGCUGAGGCAGGAUAACCACUUGAACAGGGGAGGAGGAGGUUGCAGUGGGCCAAGAUUGCGCCAAUGCACUCCAGCCUGGGCAACAGGAGUGAAACUCCAUCUCAAAAAAAAGAGAAAAUAGUCUCAAAGUUGAGAUGAGCACCCAGUUUGCCAAAACCGGGAGGCAGAGGUCAUGCCAUUGCACUCCGGCCUGGGAGACACAGCAAGACUCCAUCUCAAAAAAAAGGAGAUUUGGCCGGGUGCGUUGGCUCACGCCCGUAAUCCCAGCACUUUGGGUGGCCGAGGCGGGCGGAUCACGAGGUCAGGAGAUCGAGACCAUCCUGGCUAACACGGUGAAACCCCGUCUCUACUAAAAAUACAAAAAAUUAGCCGGGGUGGUGGCGGGCGCCUGCAGUCCCAGCUACUCAGGAGGCUGAGGCAGGAGAAUGGCAUGAACCUGGGAGGUGGAGCUUGCAGUGAGCUGAGAUUGCGCCACUGCACUCCAGCCUGGGCGACAGAGCCAGACUCCGUCCCAAAAAAAAAAAAAAAAAAAAGAGAUUCAGUGUGGAGGGAAGUAUCUCUGUCGGGUCCGGCUGCUCUGCGGGACUCUGAGGAAAAGCUCACAACAGGUGGACGCCGUUCUGUCACCAUGGGUAAAGGAGACCCCCAAUGAGCUGAAG